rnacentral:rRNA from 1 species
UGGGGAAUAUUGCGCAAUGGGGGGAAACCCUGACGCAGCAACGCCGCGUGAUUGAAGAAGGUCUUCGGAUUGUAAAAUCUUUUAUCAAGGACGAAGAAGUGACGGUACUUGAUGAAUAAGCUCCGGCUAACUACGUGCCAGCAGCCGCGGUAAUACGUAGGGAGCAAGCGUUAUCCGGAUUUACUGGGUGUAAAGGGCGAGUAGGCGGAUUGGCAAGUUGGGAGUGAAAUGUCGGGGCUUAACCCCGGAACUGCUUCCAAAACUGUUGAUCUUGAGUGAUGGAGAGGCAGGCGGAAUUCCCAGUGUAGCGGUAAAAUCCGUAGAGAUCACCAAGAAUACCCAUUGCGAAGGCGAUCUGCCAGAACUCAACUGACGCUAAUGCGUGAAAGCGUGGGGAGCAAACAGGAUUAGAUACCCUGGUA